UUAGAUGAGAUUGUCAUUUCUCGUUUAUCUUUAUGUUUCUUUUCUAAAUAUAUAUUAUAUAAAUUUUGAAUCUGCGACUAAUCGAAUUUGAUUGUUUAUUUAUAUCACAAAAAAUUAAAUAAAUUUAAAUAUAAAUGAGUUAAAAAUUAUUAAAAAAAAUAAAUAGAGAUUAUGAUUUUGGUCAAAUUAGAUCCUUUUAUAUCGGAAUCUGAAAAUAUACAUAGCUUAAAUUAGAUAUAUUUUAAUUUUUGAUUCAUCUAUAAAUGUACUUCUCUGACUUUUUAACUUUUAAAACACCAUUAUUUCAUUAUCGAAGAUGAAAGUUGCUUUCAAACAAUGGUUUAUUAGUUUCGUUAUCCUCACAAUUCUUCUGUUUGGAGAAACGACAAUUGCUCAGAAAGGAAAAGGUGUCGACCAAUGUAAUGAAACAUUAACAAACAAAAAAGGAACAUGUGAUGCCAACCAAUGUAAAACCGCAUGUGCCAAAAGACAUAAAACAGGGCUAGGUAUGUGCACAAAUGGCGAAGACAACAACAAAGGAAAAGUUAUAUGCAUAUGUCAUUAUCAAUGCCCUCGCUGAUUUUUUUCAUCUACAUCGAAAAUCUAAUAAUAUUAAGUUUUUGUCAAAAAAAUAUAUAUAUUUUACAAAUUGUUGCUGGUUUUUUUGUUUUGUUUUGGUAAUCUUGUUGCUGGUGUUUUGGCAUAAUAAGAUGUAUUAUGUUACUGAAUACAAAUAUAAAAAACAAAUAUUGAUAUGCCCA